rnacentral:rRNA from 1 species
CCUACGGGAGGCAGCAGUGAGGGAUCUUGGUCAAUGGGGGAAACUCUGAACCAGCACCGCCGCGUGAGGGAAGCCGGUUUUCGGAUUGUACCCCUGUGUCUUCUGUGAAGAUAAUGACAGUAGCAGUGGUGGUAGUUCCGGCUAAUUACGUGCCAGCAGCCGCGGUAAUACGUAGGGAGCAAGCGUUGUCCGGAUUUGCUGGGUUUAAAGGGUGUGUAGGCGGUUUUGCAAGUUAGAAGUUAAAUCCAUGAGCUUAACCCAGGAACUGCUUUUGAAAUUGCAGAGCUUGAUUGUAGUAGAGGGAGGCGGAAUGCCCGGUGUAGCGGUGAAAUGCGUAGAGAUCAGGCGGAACACCAGUGGCGAAGGCGGCCUGCUAGGCUCUAACUGACGCUGAGGCACGAAAGCGUGGGUAGCAAACAGGAUUAGAUACCCGAGUAGUC